UACGUAGGGACCGAGCGUUGUCCGGAAUCAUUGGGCGUAAAGAGCGUGUAGGCGGCCCUUUAAGUCUUGCGUGAAAUCCUGCGGCUCAACCGCAGACGGUCGUGGGAAACUGGAAGGCUAGAGUGCGGGAGAGGAGAGUGGAAUUCCCGGUGUAGCGGUGAAAUGCGCAGAUAUCGGGAAGAACACCCGUGGCGAAGGCGGCUCUCUGGAACGCAACUGACGCUGAGACGCGAAAGCGUGGGGAGCAAACAGG
rnacentral:rRNA from 1 species